UGUGACGUGGUUCCGUUGUAUUUACGGACUUACGGGGAGGUUGUCAGUGAUCUGUCUUCAUUAACCAAUGGAUUGUUGAAUUACGUCUGGAUACAUAAAUACAUUUUUUUGUGUGGGUGUUUCGUAGGCGUUAUAUUUAUUUCGAAAUUAUCAUCGGAAUAUCGAGGGAAUAUUUUUAUCCCUUCUGAUCAAAAGAUCCGGAAGUGACGUCAGAAGCUCACCUGCCGCUCCAGGCUCUCUGGCAUCAGUUACCGUUCUCAACAAAAAGGCUGAGGUAAUGUAUACAAUUUACUUG